rnacentral:rRNA from 1 species
UGGGGAAUUUUGGACAAUGGGCGAAAGCCUGAUCCAGCAAUGCCGCGUGUGUGAAGAAGGCCUUCGGGUUGUAAAGCACUUUUGUCCGGAAAGAAAUCCUUGGCUCUAAUACAGUCGGGGGAUGACGGUACCGGAAGAAUAAGCACCGGCUAACUACGUGCCAGCAGCCGCGGUAAUACGUAGGGUGCAAGCGUUAAUCGAGAUUACUGGGCGUAAAGCGUGCGCAGGCGGUUUGCUAAGACCGAUGUGAAAUCCCCGGGCUCAACCUGGGAACUGCAUUGGUGACUGGCAGGCUAGAGUAUGGCAGAGGGGGGUAGAAUUCCACGUGUAGCAGUGAAAUGCGUAGAGAUGUGGAGGAAUACCGAUGGCGAAGGCAGCCCCCUGGGCCAAUACUGACGCUCAUGCACGAAAGCGUGGGGGAGCAAAACAGGAUUAGAUACCCUGGUAGUCCACGCCCUAAAACGAUGUCAACUAGUUGUUGGGGAUUCAUUUCCUUAGUAACGUAGCUAACGCGUGAAGUUGACCGCCUGGGGAGUACGGUCGCAAGAUUAAAACUUAAAUGAAUUGACGGGGUCAUAGCUGUUUCCU